GUUCCGUAGGUGAACCUGCGGAAGGAUCAUUAUUGUAUAACCGAGGUGCGAGGGCUGUCGCUGACCCGAAAGGUCGUGCACGCCCGAGUGCCCUCACACACAUCCAUCUCACCCCUAUGUGCACCACCGCGUGGGUCCCCCUUUGGCUUGUUCGGAGGGGGGCUUACGUUUUCCCACAAACUUUGUAUGCAGUGUAGAAUGUAUUUUUUGUUUUUGCGAUCACGCAAUCAAUACAACUUUCAACAACGGAUCUCUUGGCUCUC
rnacentral:misc_RNA from 1 species